UUCACCCUCCAGGGUCACUUCUAACAAUGACGAAUGUGCAAAUGCAAGCUCCACCACAAUUCUGACAGGCUAACUGCAUACAGUUGCACACUAGCUUGGGGCCUGACUACAGUGAAAGGGGAGUACGGAGAGGUGUUUCCUAAAUGCCUCUUUUGGUGGAAAAGCUGGGGCUCACUACCUUCACAGUUACUCCACAGCACCAUUAUCUAGAAAUCUGGAUAACAGUUAACCUGGAUAACAAGACUAAAGAAGAAUCUAAUGUCUGAUUACAGACUUGUGGAGCACCUAACUUCCAUAGAGGACUUAGCGGAGGGGAGACUUUGCAGAGCAACAGGGUCUCGCCAUGUAGUUCAGCCUGGCCUUAUGCUCACUUUGUAGCUCAAGCUGGUCUCGAACUUGAAACAAUCCUCCUGCCUCAGCCUCCUGAAUGCUAGGAUUACAGGAGUACACCACCUCUUCUGGACUUUUGGGGGGGGGUAAUUAUUUAUUUGUAUGAUAUUCCAUGAACCACUUUUUUUUUUUGUCUU